UUAACAACCAUUGUACGAGUUAUUGUUGCCAUGCAACUCAUAAUAUUUUAUUUUUCUUAUGCACAAAUUAAGGAAUAUAUAUCACUACCGGACAAACUUAUAGGAUAACGCAUUGUACAGGUUGGCUGUUAAAUCGUGUCAAGAUUACAUGUUAAUAUAUGAGACCGCCUAGUAGACGAUAUCAAUGUACUUGCCCUUAUGAAUCUUGGCGCCCUCGGCGCUCAAUCAGAGGGGACACGUUAGUAAAGAAAUUUUACAUCAUCAGAUUUCCGUUUUACGGCUCACGUUUUACCCCCGCAGGUGAUUUACUGUACGUUGGUGCGUCCCAGGUAAAAUAGGAGUAUCUCCGAUCCCAUCUCCUCUCUUUGUCUAUCCUCGUUUCCUCGCCUCCGCGGUCCGCUCCGCGACUUCCCGCGCCCGCCCCGAGUCCCCGACGCCACCUCCCUGGCUCCUCCGUCGCCUGUGUGACCAGCCUCCUCAAAACAUGUCUCCUCUUCUUCUCGGCUCCGUUCAGGGGUGGUGCGGCUCAUCGGCAAGGGGGGCGGUGCACUUCGGCAGCACGCCGCGCCGUCCCAAGCUCCCGGCCGCGGCAAGAAACCUAGCGCCGCCCGCAGGCCGCAGCCCUCCACCCUCCGCAGCCUCUCAGCGCCGGCCUGGUCCCUGGCCGCCGCCUCCACCGCUGCCGGAGGACGGUUUCAUGGACGAGGUGGAGGAGGGUACGGGAGAGCAGGGGAGCAGCGGCGGUCCCGUCCGCGGCUUAGAUGCCGUCGCAGCGGGAAGAACAUCAUCCUUCAAACCUUACCAUUUCUUACCUAGGGGCAUCACCCUGGUCUGAAUCUAGAAUGCUGAAAACAAAAGCUGCAGGAGCGGAAUGCAUAUACAGUUCUCAUUAAGGAUUCAGCCUGUUUGUGUUGUGGAUGCUGCUUCUGCUAUUGUCAGCUUCCUCAAGAAUCCAUGUAAGGAAUGAACUCGGGGGACCUGAAGUUUAUACUGUCCUUGACCUGGUUGAGGGCUGAUGUAUAAGACAAUCCAUGAUUGGCCAUGAUAUGUCCAUGUACAUGGAAUAAGAUAAAUAUGCCAAGAUUCUCUUCCAUUGAAAAAUACUGCUGACGGUUACAAUGGCAUUUUCAGGAACUAAAGCUGUGGAACAAGAGUGUAACCUGUCCUGUUUCUUUGUGUUUGGAUAUCUUCAGUUGCCAGUACUGAUAUGGUUGAUUUGUGAAUCAUUUGUGAACAAAAUGUGCAGCUCAAGGUGUUGUAACAUGAUUUUUCAUAUACAACAACAAUGCCUGGGAUCUAAAACUCGAGGAAUUGGUUCAACUUCAUUAAGACAUGUCUCAACUCUCAAGUCUCAAGUCAGGAAUAGGAAUUCAUCGUUGGUGCACUGCUUCAAUCUCUCCAACUUGCCCCGUUGACUGAUGAAUUGUGCAUUUGAAGUGAAUUGUGCGGUUACUACAACUCCAAUCCGUCAGAAAUUGAUUGAUCAUAAAGGGAUCAAGGCAUUGGCUUCUACUAGCAAUUGGACGAUCAGAUUGGAAAGCAAGUGCUCAUUGUUGAGACCUAAGUGUGGAGGGUCAUUGUGAUUUACCGUUGAUCCGAAGGAUGCUUCUUAGCAAAAAGGAAUGCAAAGGAGAGGAGAAGCAUUGUACCUUCAAGCUUCAUUCUAUUCCUCCCAGUUACUAUGUAAAAUGUACUUGGUUUGUAUCCGUAGUGCAAUUAACUCUUACGAAUUUUGAUUGUUCAAUUUAAGCUUGAAGUUUGGUCACGACAAUGGCAUAAUAUUCUUGGGAUAUUGUUUUUGAACAAAAUAUUAAAUUGUAAUAACGGCCUA